GUGUCAAGGGAUGGGAAUCGAACCCACAACCUUCCGCUUACCGGGCAGAUGCCAUGGCCACAUGACCACAA
rnacentral:tRNA from 1 species